rnacentral:lncRNA from 1 species
GCGGAGUCGGGAGUGCAGCGUCCCCGGGCCCGGAACGCGUCGCUCGCGGGUGGCGGGGAACAAUAGUAGUAAAGGUGAUGAAGCGUUUUGAGUCCACGGCGCGGCCUCGUGGGGACAGCGUUUCCGAACCCGGACACCUGUCGGGGCUCCUGCGCGGGCUUUGGGCCCUGCCCUGGGCGAGUCCGCUGUCCGAGGCUCAGUUUGGUGGUCGGUCCAGCGGGGAGAAUGGGCGCGCUUGACCGGCCGGACCCCACUGCCCUUCCC